rnacentral:lncRNA from 1 species
GGAUGGGAGGAGGCUAUCCUAGGUCCGCGGGCCUGCGGGAGCUCUUAAAAUGGCCACAGUAAGCUCACUGGCAUUUCAGGGAUGGCAGCAAGAGCGGUGGACUGAGGACUUUGCUCUCCAUCCCACUAUUCAGUUUCAAGAAAAAGAGUGGAGCUGAAAUAACAAAGAAGAAUUUCACUUAGGUGAGCAUAUUUAACCUCCAUCAAGUUGGGUGGAUUUAGGACUUGCAAAGCCCACAAACAUGUACC